GAAGCUGGGAUUUCGCCCUUUGGCGGCGCCAGGACUCGCCGUCCGCGUUGAAGAUGCCGUUGCCGAAGACGUCGAAGAUCUCCGCGAACUCGUCGCCUUUCGGGUAGUUUGCGAAGUUUGAGGUGAAGAUGUGGCGCACGUUGGCCGGGUCGCAGGUGACGAAGAACCGGACGCCGGUGACCCCGGCACGGGCCUCGAAGUUGUAGCGCGUGCCGGCCAGGAUGCCCGUGGCCCAGUCGUGGAAGUCGUUCUUGUGGGCGAUCAUGCCGAAGAGAUGGCCCAGUACCGGCCAUUCCGUUGGCUCCCUCUUGCUGAUUUUCUUGGAUUGGAGGUGGCGGUAGUAGAAGAUGAAGCAGCAGAGGAGGGAGAGCAGCUCCACGAGCCAGUAUAGGGGAUCCAUGGCUAACUUUUGGAAAGGAUGCAGGAUUACCAGUGCAAGACUACGGGCUCCUUAUAUGCAACGCACUCUCGCAUGCAUGCGUGACCGGUUGAUAUAUGUGUGCUCAUAGGUAGGUGAGGCGUCUCACGUCAGUUUACAGUAAGAUGAUUAGGGUGGGUCAUUCAUGGUCAGGCCAUCAAUCCGAUUUUUAUCUAAUUUUCUGCCACAAGACUUUGGUUUCUUAAUUGUUUUCAAUUGAAAUGGUAUGAUGUGUGCUCUUACACGUAUAUAUCUAAUACGGGGUGUGAUCGAGAAUCGGAUGGUCCAUAUGUUUUCUUUAUCAUGCAUGGGAACUGUGUGUGGUCUAUGUUUUUGGAGCAGGAUCUGCUAAAUUAUCCCACGUUUAUUUCUCAUCCUGUAGCUUGUAACACACCAUUAUUGAGCAAUAAUGUUCCCGCCUUCGUCGUAAAAAAUAUUCAUGUUGAACAUCGGUUGAUAAUUUUGGCACUCUGCUCCUUUUUAUCUUCUUCCUCCAUUCGACUGAAACAAGUGAACAAUUGCAGUUGAGUAGAUAGUGAGAGGAAAAGUGAACUAAAACCAGCGCAAAAUAGAGAAAAAUUAUACUACUAAAAAUCAAGGCAGAUGGGUGUAGAAACUAAUUAAUAUAAAGGUGCAGUAGAAAGUAGUGAAAAAUUGUAGUCAGCAAAGUACAGGUACUCCCUCCGAUCCUAAAUUAUUGUGAGAAAACGUAGAACAUACUGCAAAGGUGUUGCGGAAACUAGUGGAAAAUUGUAGUUGAAAUAGUGAAAUGAAAACCAUUACAAAUGUGUAGUAAAGAAAAUCGGUGUCAAAAUGGCGGUGUUUGGCUCAAGAAAUAUUUUCUAGCGAGGGGAAAAUAGAUCUUAUCGCACCAGGGAAACUAAGAAAAAUUGCGGGCGUGCCAGUGUACUGUGUACACAAGAAAAAGGGGAGGAAUCGUAUAUUUUAUUAAUCUGUUUGAGAUUACAAAAUACAAUUCCUCGUGCGCUCCGUGGCCUGCUUGCACGGCUUGAUUGACAAGGCGAUUGUGGUCAUCUCCUGGUUCACGGGGCCUCGGAAGGCUCCCACUUAAUUACUCCCGCGGGGUUAAACCCGCGAGAAACCUCCGAUUAAGUUGUUGUGGUCGUCUUCAUGUCUUCGCUUCGCGUCACCUAUGCAUGUGUGGGUGGUGAUGGUGUGGGUGCCGACAGAACCCGUGUACAAGACAGUACACGCGCCGUUGAGCGUGGCCUUAACCGUGGCCACGCCCACCCUGUCGCCGAGCAUCGUCGGUCUCGACGACCUAAAAGUGGAGUUGGUGUAGACGCAUGAUGCCGCUUGGCUCGGACAUGCCCACAAUUCGGCAGCUUCGUCGGGGACGCGGGGAGUCCAUCCCGCGGGAGUGAUUAAUUGGAGAAGACCUGCAGGCCGGCGGGCGCCUCCCGCCGACAUGAACAACCUGCUGCUGAUGACGAUAGCGUUCGAGUGACCGCCUCUCGUGCUGCAGCAACCUGUACGUCGGCUCGACAUGUUCAUCAAGGUAAUGCUCCGCGUGGAGCGGCCACUGUGUAGACGUCGCCCACGUCCGCACCGUCGCGCAUGGUGGCGCUCGGGCGGACGUCGGCGGGUUGUCGAUGAAGACGGCGCCCCGCGUCGCGCGGGCGCCAUAACACGGCGAUCCUCUUGUACCUGGCAUCGACGGCGGCGCGCGAUGACCAUCAUGAUCACUUUGAAAAGCGACCAAGGACAUCAGGUCGCCAAACUCCGUAGAUGGCUGAGCAGGGCGACAGUGCUCGGGCUCUAUAGCACCAUUACCAUGCUAGAUGCAAGAGAGGAUCGAGCCGAGGAUAGGGGUAGGAGUAGAUUAAUACUCACCGUAGUCGUUACCUGAAGCCAUGGAAUUGAUGUUGAUGAAACUUGACGAACCUUUACGUCUCAGCUUCUCGCCGGCGUCCGGCCGUACGUGGUGUUGUCACCGGAUGGCCGAGCGCUAGCAGUCUUCGCCUGUUCGUCGGAUCUACCAGCGCCUCCUCUCCGUCCCUGACUUUUCUGCUCAGAAAAAAGCCCCUUGUGCCGUGUGUCGUGCGCCUUAUAUAUAGGCAGGCUGCGGACGUACCUGGCCGCUGGCCGUUGCGAUGCGCUCGGAUACUUCGGACGCAAGUUACGCUGGACGUUCUUUUCUCCUCCGCCCGCACACGCGAUCUUCCCUGUUGUGUUUACUCUCCCAGAGUUUUACGCGUCGACGUACGUGAUCCCCGCUGUCAGGCGGUUCAGCCCGACUCGAACGAACAAGAGGACUCUUAUUUGAUUAGCUGGUUAGCUCUCCGGCUGAACUCGAGCGCACGCGCCUGCUGCCUUGCAGCCUGCCACCCAGUGCACGUACGUGCAUGUACACGCUGCUGCAUGUGUCUUAUUCCCAGUUUUUUUUUCUUCUUUUUCUUAAUAUCCAGAUCAAGUAUUGAGCUUGUAAAAAAUAUCAUCAAACAGGCGGCUAGAAAAUGAUCCCGAUGAUUGGGGAAGGUAGCUAUUUUUAACUAUGUUAACAUCAAGUCUUAGGAUAAGAAAAUACUAAAAGUAGUACGAGUAGUAUUGAAUGUUCUGACACAUAAAAAUACUGGAGUACUAUGUUUCCAAGACAAACAUUCAAUAUAUUUCUUUUUUUUUGACGCAAUACUUCGUACUUGUUGUCAACCAUCAACACAUGUGUUGUUUCAAGAAAAAAAAGAUAUAUACGUCGGCUCUUAUCAAUAUGUCAAACUUCGCAGAACCUUUGGUUCGAUCGUCAAAUCCAGUAAGUAAGCAAGCAACUGGUGACACGAAAUGUAAAAAAAUUAAAAUAGAAUAAAAAUAUGUGGCCCGAUACCUCCUUCUAGGCCGUAGCGGGCAGUAUGCCGUCACGGGCCGGGCAUGGUAGAAGCAUACGAGACCAAAAGGAAAUACCCCCAGAGAAGGCCCCAAGCUGCCAAGGCCCAGACACGAGACCAAAAGGAAAUACCCACAAAGAAGUCUCCGUCACGCUGUGAGGCAAUAAUUGGCACCGUGCCGUAGAGCGAGCGCCGCUACUUAAUGAAAGAUUUUGGAGGGAUGGAACUCGUGUCUGAAUUGAAUUCAAGUAAUCAAGCCAGACUGCUCCUGAUGCAGAGUGCGAUAUGCGCGCAGCAAUCAAACAGGGCCACCCGUGUACGUCGUCCACGGGCGCGCGCCUCAAUAAUGAGAAGCAUCGCGAUCCGGCUGUACGUACUGCAGGGACACACGGUUUAGUUGAGCCACACACACUUUGCUGCCCAUGCCGUGCUAGCGAAGCCUCACGCACCACGUGCCACGAUUCACUUGCUCGACACGCACACGCGCGCGGGAAUGACCGAUUCUUUUGCGCGGAGGAGAUGGAUCUGGCCGGGGCUCUCUGCCAGGACAGGACAGAACGGCCCCGGGGAUUGGGGAUUGCACCGCACGUAGGGCCUUGUAGCUAGCCACUGCACGAGUGCGACGCGGUCAGUACGUGCCCAUCUUUCCACUGGAGCGCCCCGAGACUCGCUCUGUCCUUGCCGGACUGUUUGGGAGUAGUUCGGGACAUGCCUUUCGUCUUUCCGGACGGUCCCCGGGGAAUCAUCAUGGAGCCAAUCUUGACUCCGUCUCGAGAUCGCUAGACGUUCUUUCGCUGCCAACGUGAUCGAAAGCGAUCCUAAGCUUCAGGACUCCAUGUCUGCCUCGAAAAGGAGAUCGAACCCUCUUUCAAAAGAAAAAAAAAAGAUCCAAGUGGCUCGUAAGGGCACGUCCGGUGCGUACGAGAAAAUAUCAGGCGAUUUCAACGUCCCAAAACAAGUGACGUCUGUGACGGAGGAAGUAUGUUCUUUCUGUAAGAUUAUUAUUUUCGCUACAAGGAGGAAUGUACGCGCACAUGUUACUCGAGGACGAACUCUAUCACCGAGCCGCUGCAUGCUCGGUUGUAAAGAAUUUUUGGAUUUAAUAACCCUUUAGACUGAAGAAAUGUUCUGACGUGCCUGCAUGAGAUUGGAAUAUUUUGCUCCAACUCUUUAUUGCUGCAACGCGCUUGGAAAGGGGGAGGCUCGUUUUUGGGGGACAAGAGUACAGAGUGCUCGAGUAAGCACAGACUGCGAGUUACGACCGGCAAUACAGACAUCACCGCUAGCUAGUAGUAGUGGAUUAAUUUCAAUCAAUUCCUAAGCACCUAGCUGCCUCCUCUUAAUCCUGGCCAUGAAUCCGUUCUUCAUGUGGAGUAUGAUGGACACCUUGGGCUCGAAGACAUGCCCGGGCACGGCCUGGACGUCGAAGUUCCACACCACGGCGGCCGCCACGGCCUUGAGCUGCACGAACGCCAUGUCCUUGCCGAGACAAGUCCUGGGCCCUGAGUUGAAUGCCAGGAACUUGUAGGACGGCACGUGCCGCAGCCUGCUGCUGGCCGAUUCGUCUUCGUCCACCCACCGCUCCGGCAAAAACUCCUUGCAGUCGGCGCCCCACACGGCGUCCAUCCUCCCCAUGGCGUAGAGCGACACCAUGAUCUUGUCCCCCGGCUUCACCUCGUGCCCGCUCGGCAGCGUCUCCGCGGACACCACGCCCUUGUGCUCCAUCGGCAACGGCGGGUACAGCCGCAGCGACUCGCACAGCGCCGCGUGGAGGUACGCCAGCUUGCCCAGAUCCUCCGGGUCGAAGCUCGCCAUGCCGUUAAUGGCGUUGGCGCCGCUGGUGGGCUUGACGGUCUCGAGCUCUGCCAGGAUCUUGGACACCACGCGUGGGUUCUUGGUGAGGAGGUAGAAGAACCAGGAGAGCGCGGAGCCCGUGGUGUCGCGGCCGGCCAGCAUCAGGUUCAUGGUCGUGUCCCGGAGGAACGCGUCCAUGACAGCGUCUUUCUCCUCGUUGUCGUCGUCGAUGUAGGAGGACAGCAGGUCGGCGCCGCCUGCAGCAGUUCUGGCUAAUUUCACGGCUUCCCUUCGCUUGGCAACGGUGUCGGCAAUGAAGGCGUCAAUGUCGCGCCAGGCGGCGGCCAUCUUGCGCUCGUAGCCGACACGGAGCCGCCUGACGAGCUUCCACCACGACAGCGGGAGCACGUUGCGGACCAGGAGCACGUCCAUGGCGUCGUCCAUGGCGCGCGCGAACGGCACCUCGGGCAACCCGAUCUCCAAGCAUCCCGGGUCGACCCCGAACACGAGCUUCGUCGUCGUGUCGAACGUCAGCCUCAGGAACACGUCCUGAAGGUCACACUCACACGCCUUCGUCUUCCCGGCUGCGACAUGAUCCAGCAGCGGGAGCAGGGCGUUCUCGACCUUGCCGCGGACGAACGUGGCCACGAAGCGCUUGAACCUCGGGGUCGACAUGAGAAGCUGCGCCUUGGCCCGCUGCAUGCGCCAGGAGUCGCCAUCGGCGUUGAAGAUGCCGCCGCCGAGGAUGUCCAUGAUCUCGGCGAACUCGGGGCCUUUCGGGUAGUUGCUGAAGUUGGAGGUGAAGACGUGGCGCACGUUGGCCGGGUCGGCCGUGAGCAGGAACUGCAUCCGGGAGCGCGGCGGGCCCGUGAAGCGGAAGCUCAGCGGGCUGGCCACGAGCACGGAGGUCACCCAGUCGUGG
rnacentral:lncRNA from 1 species